GCGUGAGGAUCUGCCCUCAGGAGGGGGACAACGACUGGAAACGGUCGCUAAUACCCCAUAUGCCGAGAGGUGAAAUGUUUUUUCGCCUGAGGAUGAGCUCGCGUCAGAUUAGCUAGUUGGUGGGGUAACGGCCUACCAAGGCGACGAUCUGUAGCUGGUCUGAGAGGAUGAUCAGCCACACUGGGACUGAGACACGGCCCAGACUCCUACGGGAGGCAGCAGUGGGGAAUUUUCCGCAAUGGGCGAAAGCCUGACGGAGCAAGACCGCGUGGGGGAAGAAGGCUCUUGGGUUGUAAACCCCUUUUCUCUGGGAAGAACGCAAUGACGGUACCAGAGGAAUCAGCAUCGGCUAACUCCGUGCCAGCAGCCGCGGUAAUACGGGGGAUGCAAGCGUUAUCCGGAAUUAUUGGGCGUAAAGCGUCCGCAGGUGGUUUAUCAAGUCUGCUGUUAAAAUCGUAGGGCUUAACCCUAUAAAGGCAGUGGAAACUGAGAGACUAGAGUAUGGUAGGGGUAGCGGGAAUUCCCAGUGUAGCGGUGAAAAUGCGUAGAUAUUGGGAAGAACACCAGCGGCGAAGGCGCGCUACUGGGCCAAAACUGACACUCAUGGACGAAAGCUAGGGGAGCGAAAGGGAUUAGAUACCCCUGUAGUCCUAGCUGUAAACGAUGACAACUAGGUGUUGCGCGUAUCGACCCGAGCCGUGCCGAA
rnacentral:rRNA from 1 species